AGGAUAAUAGUUAAAAUUAACAUUUAAUUUGCAUUUAAAAAAUAUUGGUAUUCAAUUUAUCUUA
rnacentral:tRNA from 2 species